GAAGCGGACUGAGUAAUCGCCUCCAAAAGCGGUUGGUGGUUUAUGGUUGGUAGUUAAUGGUUUAAAAAACUAAAAAUUGCUAACCAACAACUAUAACUGAUUUGGGGGAGGAAAGUCCGGACUCCAUAGGGCGGGAUGCCUCGUAACGCGAGGGCGAAGUGAUUCGACGGAAAGUGCCACAGAAAAGAAAACCCCCUCGCCUUUGGCGGGAGGAAAGCUGAAACGGUGAGGUAAGAGCAUCACCAGCUUCGUUGUAAGGCGGAGGCUUGGCAAACCCCAUCCGGAGCAAGGCCAAAUAGGGGAGGAGUCGUGGUUGCCCGCCGCGUCACAACUUUCGGGUUGGCCGCAUGACCUCGAUAGCGAUGUCGGGGCUAGAUAAAUGAUUACUCAACACCGCUUAUGGCGGUGUGGACAGAAUCCGGCUUAUAGGUCCGCUUUCCAA
rnacentral:RNase_P_RNA from 1 species